UUCUUUUUCCACCGGAGCUUGCUCCACCGGAAAAAGAGGAGUGGCGAACGGGUGAGUAACACGUGGGUAACCUGCCCAUCAGAAGGGGAUAACACUUGGAAACAGGUGCUAAUACCGUAUAACAAUCGAAACCGCAUGGUUUUGAUUUGAAAGGCGCUUUCGGGUGUCACUGAUGGAUGGACCCGCGGUGCAUUAGCUAGUUGGUGAGGUAACGGCUCACCAAGGCCACGAUGCAUAGCCGACCUGAGAGGGUGA
rnacentral:rRNA from 1 species